UGGGCUUUGCCCGCUUUCUGAGCUGGACCCUCUCUCUACCUCUGGUGCAGAACUACAGCGGAAGGAGUCUCUG
ensembl:miRNA